UAACCAGACAAAAGGAGCUCGGGUGCCCACGGUUUCGCCUGACCUCAGCAGAGACGCGCCAGCGAGAGCCGUGAAGCGCCACAGCUGACUGGGCUCUUUGCUUUUUCCCAACGCACUUUCCCGAAGAGGCCCUGGUGACCGGGCCAUUCACUGUCCAGAGCAAUAAAUGCGGGAAGCAUCUCGGGCCGGGCACCUCAUUCUCAAAAAGGACGCAAAGACUUUGGAGUAUAGCCAACAUGCCUGGAACAAAAGGUAACAAGUCGGACAAGAAAUCCGCCACCAAGCAGCCUCAGAGUCCUAAGGAGCAGCCGAAGAAAGGUGAUCAGAAAGGAGAUGACAAUAAGAAGCAAGGAGGACAGCCGAAGGGAGAGAAGCAGUAACUUCCAGGCCUUUGUGAAGAUGGCUCUGGAGACUCUCCUGGGCUCAUGCAGACGCAAACACGGAGGCCCUCGGGGUCGGCAGGGCUGAGGAGAAUCAGCUCCUCUACCACAUUCAGCCAAUCAGACACAUCCUGCCUGCCUUUAACAAGGCAGAGAUGUGUCCAGUCCUCCAUCUGUUAGAGACUACACCCCUGAUCUGUCCCACCCCCGCCCCAACUCCCCAUACCGGAUCUCAUGGCUUCUGGAGCAACCCUAAUAACUGGGAAUUGAACCAGAGUGAUGAGAUUUUACACCCUAUCCUACACCUCAUCCCCUCUACUUCAACUCCGCCCAUGUGAUGGUACCUCGCUGUGUUGUAUAUAAAUAAACAAACAAAUGUUAUUUCAUACAAUAA